GUUUCUGGCUGCUCCGGUUGAUCACGAAGAGGUUUGAGGCCCGUCUGAUGGGGGUUGAGGGAUGCGAUGAGGUGAUUGGCUAAUCUGGCUGUCACUCAAUUAAAUACGGAAAGCUAUUGGUCGGUGGGAGGGACCACGAGUGGUGAUUGGAGGAGGCAGACCGGAAGGGGAGGUGAAUUGACAGGAAAAGGAAGUAGAUUGACCGGAAGAGGAGGGGAGUUAACCGGAAGAGGAAGUAGACUGACCGGAAGAGGAGGGAGAUUGACAGGUAGGGGAAGGAGAUUGACCGGAAGAGGCGGGGAGAUGGUGUCGUAGCGUUGUUGUCAUGGCUACGGGGCCCAGCCCCUCCCCCUCGUUUCCCGCAUUCUGAUUGGACGAUCAUCAGUGUCAAUCAGCUUUGCCCGGCGCUGAUUGGCUGCUCGUUCUACUUCCGCCUUUUCACUCCCGGUCCGCUCUCACCCCACAAAGCGGCCCGUCCCUCCCCCGUUGGCUGCUUUGAUGUUCCCCGCAACCAUUGGUCGGCUGCGGUGUCGCUCAAAUAGAUCCGGCUUGUGAUUGGUUGGCUGGAGGUGUCGCGUGUGAUGAUUGGAGGGGAGAGGCCGGAAGAGGCGGGGAGACUGACCGGAAGGGGUGGGGCGAUAGUGUAACGGCUUGGUUGUCAUGGCUACGAGGCCGCGCCCCUCCCCCCAUUUCUGUCCGGAUUCUGAUUGGUCGAGCAGGAUGUCACUCCGCUCUUUCCCCGCGCUCAUUGGCUGCCCUUCCCGCUCCCGCCUUCUCCCUAGCUGUCUUCUAAUUGGCUCCAACUCCCAUCCUUCAAACACCAGCGCUCCAAUCAGGAGACAAGAAAACUGGGCGGGCUUUCGGUUUCCCUAGCAACCAAAAGGGGCGGAGCAUCUUUCAGCCAAUCAAAACGCGACUACACCGCGCGGGCCAAGGGGCGGGUUCAAGGGUCAGAGCUCAGCCAAGAUGGCGGCGGCGCCGGGGCGGCGGCGGCCGCUGUUGCUGCUGUUCGGUGCCGUUUAUUUCGGGCUCGGUUCGGCCGUGGAUCGGAGCAACUUUAAAACGUGCGAACAAAGCAGCUUCUGCAGGUGGGAACCGGGUCCGUUAACCCUCCCCGGGUCCGUUAACCCCCGUUAUAGGGGGAGGGCGGGGUUUGAGGUGUUGCCCGGUUCCGGUUGUAGGCGGCAGCGCAGUUUCCAGCCCGGCCGUUCUCCGUAUCGGGUCCUGUUGGAUUCGUUACAGCUCGGCCCCGAAGCGGUAACGGUGCAGGUGG
rnacentral:lncRNA from 1 species